rnacentral:rRNA from 1 species
UACGGAGGAUCCAAGCGUUAUCCGGAUUUAUUGGGUUUAAAGGGUGCGUAGGCGGAAUAUCAAGUCAGCGGUAAAAAUUCGGGGCUCAACCCCGUCGUGCCGUUGAAACUGGCAGUCUCGAGUUGGAGAGAAGUAUGCGGAAUGCGCGGUGUAGCGGUGAAAUGCAUAGAUAUCGCGCAGAACUCCGAUUGCGAAGGCAGCCUACCGGCGCGCAACUGACGCUCAUGCACGAAAGCGUGGGUAUCGAACAGG